AACGUAGGGGGCCAGCGUUGCUCGGAAUUACUGGGCGUAAAGGGUCCGUAGGCGGUGUGGCAAGUCGGAAGUGAAAUCUCUGGGCUUAACCCAGAGGCUGCUUCCGAAACUGCUGUGCUAGAGUGUGAGAGAGGCGAGUGGAAUUGCGGGUGUAGCGGUGAAAUGCGUAGAUAUCCGCAGGAACAUCCGAGGCGAAAGCGGCUCGCUGGAUCACAACUGACGCUGAGGGACGAAAGCUAGGGGAGCAAACAGG
rnacentral:rRNA from 2 species